rnacentral:rRNA from 1 species
GACGAACGCUGGCGGCGUGCUUAACACAUGCAAGUCGAACGAUGAUGCCCAGCUUGCUGGGUGGAUUAGUGGCGAACGGGUGAGUAACACGUGAGUAACCUGCCCCUGACUCUGGGAUAAGCGUUGGAAACGACGUCUAAUACUGGAUAUGACUGCCGGCCGCAUGGUCUGGUGGUGGAAAGAUUUUUUGGUUGGGGAUGGACUCGCGGCCUAUCAGCUUGUUGGUGAGGUAAUGGCUCACCAAGGCGACGACGGGUAGCCGGCCUGCGAGGGUGCCCGGCCACACUGGGACUGUGACGCGGCCGAGACUCCUACGGGUGGCAGCAGUGGGGAAUAUUGCACGAUGGGCGAAAGCCUGAUGCAGCAGCGCCGCGUGAGGGAUGACGGCCUUCGGGUUGUAAACCUCUUUUAGUAGGGAAGAAGCGAAAGGGACGGUACCUGCAGAAAAAGCACCGGCUAACUACGUGCCAGCCGCCGCGGUAA